UACGUAGGGGGCAAGCGUUGUCCGGAAUCAUUGGGCGUAAAGAGCGUGUAGGCGGCCCGAUAAGUCCGCUGUGAAAGUCCAGGGCUCAACCCUGGGAUGCCGGUGGAUACUGUCGGGCUCGAGUCCGGAAGAGGCGAGUGGAAUUCCUGGUGUAGCGGUGAAAUGCGCAGAUAUCAGGAGGAACACCGGUGGCGAAGGCGGAUCUCUGGGCCUUACCUGACGCUGAGGCGCGAAAGCUAGGGGAGCAAACAGG
rnacentral:rRNA from 1 species